rnacentral:rRNA from 1 species
UGAGCAAUCUGCCCUUCUCAUCGGAAUAAGCGUUGGAAACGACGUCUAAUGCCGAAUACGACCUCCUUUCGCAUGAUCGGAGGUGGAAAGCUCCGGCGGUCAAGGAUGGGCUCGCGGCCUAUCAGCUUGUUGGUGAGGUAACGGCUCACCAAGGCUUCGACGGGUAGCCGGCCUGAGAGGGCGACCGGCCACACUGGGACUGAGAUACGGCCCAGACCUCCGUACGGGGAGGNAGCG